AUGUGUGUAUAUUGUUAAAUAAUUUCCAAUAUAUAUACAUACAUAUGUGUACAUUGUUAAAAAAUUUCGAUUUCAGUGAUCGGAGUAAAUGAUGGUAUUGCCGGUAAUUCCACCUGUCUUCUAUGGUUUAGCCUGUCCUUUGGUUUUUUACGCUUUCCUCGGACGGCAACUAAGCAGGAAGUCUUUCUUGCUAGGUACCUGUCGCCGGAAGGACCCAAACUGAAGGUGUCACGGUCCGUAAGGGCCGUGAGAGUGCAGGACGAUAGGUGGAUCCUUUCUGGACACAGCGGAGCAGAGCAGGGCAGGCAAGGCCAGGGAGCAAUGUCCCUUCGAGUCAUCCCCUUCCUAACGUAUAUGUAAGUUACAGUUUAGGUACUCCGGGCUGCUAAUCGGACGGUGCCCGCGAGAAGUCCGAGCGAAGACCGAGCGAAGACCGAGCGAAAUAAUGGCUAAAACGGACGGGAAGGAACAACGGCGAACCGUUUCCUUCGAGCCCGUGGUUUCUUGCGGCCGCCGAUGGAUAAGGAUAUCUGCUUCGAACUCUAAACAGUCGUCCGUUUGAGUCAGACUACCGCGGCCGGUUCGGUGAAUCUCUCUGUGGUCGACGGAGGAGGACCGGACCCCGUAUCUCGUGGACCCCUUUCUAUUUGCGUUGACCUCAAAAACUUCUGGUUGACCUUAGAAGGGUCGGUGGUCGAUCAAUAUAGGGAACCACUGUACUUUCCGGAGCAAAUAGGAGAAAUAUCGUGUACGCCUCUCUCAGGGUGUAGCUGGCUUGAUAAGAUAGCCACUGCUGUCGCAGCGAGCGUAUGUAUACUGUACGCGAUAUUAAGGAAGGAGAUAGAGAAAGGCAUGGUUUUGUUCACUACUGUACCUAUCGCGUAGUUUUUACACGCCACUUUCGGUGCAUCGUGUUCCACCAGCGGAGUCCCGUCCGCCAGACUGUACAAACUCGAUCGAGAAAGAAAGGAAGAAAUCUAUAUGUAUAUAUACAUAUAAGAUCCACGAAGGCUGUGUGUCGUUAUCGAAUGACGAAAUAAAAAAAAAAAAAGGGAACGGGGGACGCCCUAUAUA